rnacentral:rRNA from 1 species
UGUGGCGUUGCCCAGACAACUAGGAUGUUGGCUUAGAAGCAGCCAUCAUUUAAAGAGUGCGUAAUAGCUCACUAGUCGAGUGACACUGCGCCGAAAAUGUACCGGGGCUAAACAUAUUACCGAAGCUGUGGAUUGUCCUUUGGACAAUGGUAGGAGAGCGUUCUAAGGGCGUUGAAGCAUGAUCGUAAGGACAUGUGGAGCGCUUAGAAGUGAGAAUGCCGGUGUGAGUAGCGAAAGACGGGUGAGAAUCCCGUCCACCGAUUGACUAAGGUUUCCAGAGGAAGGCUCGUCCGCUCUGGGUUAGUCGGGUCCUAAGCUGAGGCCGACAGGCGUAGGCGAUGGAUAACAGGUUGAUAUUCCUGUACCACCUAUAAUCGUUUUAAUCGAUGGGGGGACGCAGUAGGAUAGGCGAAGCGUGCGAUUGGAUUGCACGUCUAAGCAGUAAGGCUGAGUAUUAGGCAAAUCCGGUACUCGUUAAGGCUGAGCUGUGAUGGGGAGAAGACAUUGUGUCUUCGAGUCGUUGAUUUCACACUGCCGAGAAAAGCCUCUAGAUAGAAAAUAGGUGCCCGUACCGCAAACCGACACAGGUAGUCAAGAUGAGAAUUCUAAGGUGAGCGAGCGAACUCUCGUUAAGGAACUCGGCAAAAUGACCCCGUAACUUCGGGAGAAGGGGUGCUCUUUAGGGUUAACGCCCAGAAGAGCCGCAGUGAAUAGGCCCAAGCGACUGUUUAUCAAAAACACAGGUCUCUGCUAAACCGUAAGGUGAUGUAUAGGGGCUGACGCCUGCCCGGUGCUGGAAGGUUAAGAGGAGUGGUUAGCUUCUGCGAAGCUACGAAUCGAAGCCCCAGUAAACGGCGGCCGUAACUAUAACGGUCCUAAGGUAGCGAAAUUCCUUGUCGGGUAAGUUCCGACCCGCACGAAAGGCGUAACGAUUUGGGCACUGUCUCAACGAGAGACUCGGUGAAAUCAUAGUACCUGUGAAGAUGCAGGUUACCCGCGACAGGACGGAAAGACCCCGUGGAGCUUUACUGUAGCCUGAUAUUGAAAUUCGGCACAGCUUGUACAGGAUAGGUAGGAGCCUUUGAAACGUGAGCGCUAGCUUACGUGGAGGCGCUGGUGG